GGGAUCUUGGUGUAUGGUGCACACCUGCCUUGCUUAGCCAAGGGAGCUGUCGCAAACAGGAAGAUGGGGUUCGAUUCCCUGAGAUCCCA